rnacentral:rRNA from 1 species
UACGUAGGGUGCAAGCGUUAAUCGGAAUUACUGGGCGUAAAGCGUGCGCAGGCGGCUAUGCAAGACAGAUGUGAAAUCCCCGGGCUCAACCUGGGAACUGCAUUUGUGACUGUAGAGCUGGAGUGCGGCAGAGGGGGAUGGAAUUCCGCGUGUAGCAGUGAAAUGCGUAGAUAUGCGGAGGAACACCGAUGGCGAAGGCAAUCCCCUGGGCCUGCACUGACGCUCAUGCACGAAAGCGUGGGGAGCAACAG